AGAACGCUGGCGGCGUGGAUUAGGCAUGCAAGUCGAACGGUAUCAUCCUUUCGGGGGUGAGAGAGUGGCGAACUGGUGAGUAACACGUAGGUUAUCUACCCUCAAGACGGGGACAACCCAGGGAAACUUGGGCUAAUACCGGAUGUGAGCAACUUUUAGUUGUUUGAAAGGUGGCGUAAGCUGUCGCUUGGGGAUGAGCCUGCGUCCUAUUAGUUAGUUGGUGAGGUAACGGCUCACCUAGGCAAUGAUAGGUAGGCGGCCUUAACGGGUGGUCGCCCACACUGGGAUUGAGAUACGGCCCAGACUCCUACGGGAGGCAGCAGUCGAGAAUAGUCUACAAUGGUCGGAAGACUGAUAGUGCGACGCCGCGUGAACGAUGAAUCCCUUCGGGGUGUAAAAUUCUUUUAUAUGUGAGCAGUGCUUCUUAUAUUAACAGUAUGGGGAGAGAGAUAUUAGCAUAUGAAUAAGCAACGGCUAACUCCGUG
rnacentral:rRNA from 1 species